GACGUAGGGGGCGAGCGUUGUCCGGAUUUAUUGGGCGUAAAGAGCUCGUAGGCGGUUCGUCGCGUCGGCUGUGAAAUCCCGAGGCUCAACCUCGGGUCUGCAGUCGAUACGGGCGGACUGGAGUUCGGCAGGGGAGACUGGAAUUCCUGGUGUAGCGGUGAAAUGCGCAGAUAUCAGGAGGAACACCGGUGGCGAAGGCGGGUCUCUGGGCCGAUACUGACGCUGAGGAGCGAAAGCGUGGGGAGCGAACAGG
rnacentral:rRNA from 1 species